CUUCCUCCUCCGCCUCCUCAGCUCUUGGGCUAGAAUAUCUAUGGGUCGAAACGUGAUGCGAUGAAUUCGAGAGAGAGCGAAACUAGGACGAGGAGUGCGGCGGAAGCGGCGGGACUCCCGGGCAUGGGGGCUUCACCACAAUAGAGGCAGCGCCCCCACCCGCCCCCGCCAGCCCCUCCGGAGCGAAGCCCCCAAACCCCCUCGGGAAAAGGAUGGCGGCAGCACCUACCCAGAUCGAAGCCGAGCUGUAUUACCUGAUCGCUAGGUUCUUGCAGUCUGGACCCUGCAACAAAUCCGCUCAGGUGCUAGUGCAGGAGCUCGAGGAGCAUCAGCUGAUUCCGCGCCGCUUAGAUUGGGAGGGGAAAGAGCACCGAAGAAGCUUCGAGGAUCUGGUGGCAGCAAAUGCACACAUUCCUCCAGACUACCUCCUUAAAAUUUGUGAGAGAAUUGGUCCUUUACUAGAUAAAGAGAUCCCUCAGAGUGUUCCUGGGGUACAGACAUUAUUAGGUGUUGGUCGGCAGUCUCUGCUACGGGAUGCCAAAGACUGUAAGAGUACACUAUGGAAUGGGUCUGCUUUUGCGGCUCUGCAUAGAGGCAGACCUCCAGAACUACCUGUAAAUUAUGUGAAACCUCCAAAUGUGGUGAAUAUCACCUCUGCCAGGCAAUUAACCGGAUGUAGUCGCUUUGGUCAUAUUUUCCCUUCAUCUGCUUACCAGCACAUCAAGAUGCAUAAGAGAAUUCUGGGCCACUUGUCAUCUGUCUACUGUGUAGCAUUUGACCGAAGCGGGCGAAGAAUUUUUACAGGUUCAGAUGACUGUUUAGUAAAAAUUUGGGCUACAGAUGAUGGACGCCUUCUUGCUACACUUCGUGGACACUCUGCUGAAAUUUCUGACAUGGCUGUUAACUAUGAAAACACUCUUAUUGCUGCAGGCAGCUGUGAUAAGGUAGUAAGAGUAUGGUGUCUUCGAACUUGUGCACCCGUUGCAGUCCUUCAGGGCCAUUCAGCUUCUAUUACUUCCAUACAGGUAAGAAAAGUGAUAAAAUUUAGCUUGAACAUAUGUAAUAAAGGUGAGAAUUCUCUGAUUUCAUGUUACAUUGUAUAGAUAAUAGUCCAAAGAAUAACAAGAGAAAAAUGCUCCCUUCUGGACUUUGCUCCUACCCUGCAGCAAGGUAUUUUUUUAAGUUCCUUUUUCUUAUAAUUAUCUUUUUUAAUAAAUAAGUAAAAAGAUUAUUUAAAAAGUUCUAUAAAUAGAGUGAGAUAUCUUAUUUGUAUUUGUUAAGAAGGGAGAAAACCUGUAAAUGCCUUAAGAGCACACUCUUUCCUGUUAGGAUAUAAACGGGUUCUACCAU
rnacentral:sRNA from 1 species